rnacentral:misc_RNA from 1 species
GAGAGAGAGAGAGAGAGAGCAGAAAAUAGGUGGAAAAUGGGGCAGAAUUGCAGUAAUGGGAUCUAGAAAUAUAUAAAAGAAGAGAACGCUAGAACAAUUCCAAAAAUGAAAAAGCCAUUUGUUUAGGGGCAAGAAAAAAUGCUAUGAAAAGUUGUUGGUUAAGACGGAAAAUGCAUGAUUACAACUAUCGAAUUGUUACUUCGAUAUAAAGUAAAACAUGAAAGGAUCUUAAAAACAAAUUC